ensembl:misc_RNA Metazoa_SRP Metazoan signal recognition particle RNA
GCCGGGCAUGGUGGUGGGUGCCUGUAAUCCCAGCAACUGGGGAGGCUGAGGCAGAAGAAUCGUUUGAACCCAGGAGGCGGAGGUUGCAGUGAGCUGAGAUCGCGCCACUGCACUCCAGCCUGGGUGACAGAGCGAGACUCUGUCUUUA